ACGUCGAAGGAUAAGGAGGAUUCGUUGGUGGAAUACAUUUCUUUCUUGGGUUGUUUACUGAAUUACUGUGUUUAUUUUGCUAAACAACCUAGAAGUGAAAGUUUGGAUUGCUUUAAUGGCCGAAGAAGGAGAACUUUCAUCUCCAGACGAGUUGGAAACCAGUUUGGAUGGAGUGGAGCUAAAUGUUCUGGAUGAUAUACUUGGGGAACCAGCAAAUGAUGAGUUUGCUGCUGAACUGGACACUCCAGCAAAGACAAGUGUACCAAGCAGAAAACGAAGAGCAACUAGUGGUGACAAGAGUGAUGUUUCUAAAAAGAGACAUUUGGACAGUCCAAAACUUCAAACCAAAGAAAACAACAGUACCUCUCUUCAGACCUUGAAAAUAUCAAGCCAGACUCUAACCAAAAACAGUAAGGCUUCUAAAACCAUUGCAUCUGGGUCAGAAUCUCCCAAGACAGGUGACAGCGACAAGGUUAAGUUACCAAUGAAAGAAAAGGAAGAAAAACAACGUCCUAGAAAAGAUGUUCCAAAAGAAAGUAAAGUGAAGCUGAAGGAGAAGGACAAAACCACAGGUCAGCUUGAAAAUGAAAAUUCAAGCAAGGAAAAGGGAAAGGAAAAAGACACUACUAAAAACAAACAGAAGGAUAUGAAAGGUUCCAAAAAUGAAGGUGAUAGUAAAACUGGAGACCAAGAGAUAAAGAAAAAAGAAGAACAGAAUGCAGCAAUUUCCGAAACCAAAGAAAUUGUUGAAAAGGAAAAGGAAAUGAAAAAAUCAGAGAAUCUAACAAAGAAGUUGAUGAGCUCAAAAGCAAAAGAUGCCUCAAAAUUUGUUAAGAAGGAGGGUCCAAGAAAGGAAGCAGGGAAAAAAGAGGCAAAGAAGGACAUUGUUAAGAAAACAGCUGAGAAUAAUAAAGGACAGAGUAAGGUGUCUAAAGAGAAAGUCAAACCUGAAUCAGAAGAGAAGACCAGCAUAGCAAGCCCAGCCAAGAAAGUAGCAAAACACAGUGUUCAAAGCACUCCCACUGAAACUAAAAGCAGCAAAGUUCAAGAAACAUCUAGUAAUUUAAGUGGAAAGAGCAGCCAGAAGCAGAUUAACGAUGGAGUGAAAAGAAAUGGGAAAGAGGGUGUUGAAACCAAGAGCAACUUAAUGCAGAAGAAGUCUGCUACACAGACAAAGUUGAAGAAGAAUAAAGUCAGCAAGAGUGUCAAGGGAAAAGAGCAAAUACAAACCAUCCAAACAGAGCAAGAAGAACUUGGAAACAAAGUUGAGGUUCUGGAUAUCAUUGAUGAACCCAUAGAGAGGAUGAAUAAGGAAGAGGCAAAGGAGAAUGAAAUAGCUGAGUUUGGACCUGAUGAUAGUCCAGAGGCAAAACAAACAGUCAUAGGUGUAGAUGCUGUAGAUUCAGAGCCAUUGGUAGAAAGCAAAACAGCUUUAGCUGAAGAGACAGACACAGUCAGUAAAUAUGAGGCUACUGAAGAUAUGGAAGUUAUUGAUGACCUGGAGGAGGCAAGUGAAGAUGCUGGUGGAAGUGAUGACAGUGGAGAAGAAGAUUUUAGUGAAGAAGAGGGAGGUUCAGUGUCACCUUCCUCUUCAGGUUCUUCCAAAUCAGAAUCAGAAAAUCUGAGUGGUAAAGAACAAGAUGAGCAAGAAGGAAAGAAAGUAAAGAGGAGGAAAAGAAAAGCAUCAUCUCCUGUGGAAGGAACUAAAUCAAGUGGUGAAAGUGAGAACUCCUUAGGUGAUAGUCAGCUUCACAUCAAGAGUAAAGUGGCAAAGGCAUCGUCAUCUAAAUCAAAGAAAACAUUCAAUUUAGAUGAAUUCUUCGAAGAAGCUAGAUACUUUGUGAUGAAAAGUAACAAUCAUGAGAAUGUAGCUUUGUCUAAAGCCAAGGGUGUUUGGUCAACUCCAAAGGCUAAUGAGAAGAAACUAAAUGCGCACUUUAAGAGAUAUAAAAAUGUCAUUUUGAUAUUUUCUGUAAAAGAAAGUGGAAAGUUCCAGGGGUUUGCUAGACUGGCAUCAGAAGCCAAGCAUGGAGGCCAGCCAAUGCCUUGGGUGUUGCCUCCUGGAAUGAGUGCCAAAGCAUUAGGAGGAGUAUUUAAAUUGGAGUGGCUCAACAGAAGGGAGCUUUGGUUCAGUAAGUGCCUGCACUUAAGAAAUCCUUGGAAUGACAACAAAGAGGUGAAAAUUUGCCGUGAUGGACAGGAAGUGGAACCAGCUGUGGGGGAAGCUCUUUGCCGAUUGUUUCCAGAAGAUGAGACAGUGGAGCUCAAUCCAGCUCACCACUUAUCAACAGAAAGACGACGUAGGAAGGAAAGUGAUGCUGCUAGGAAUAAUGGAAAUGUUGUGAUCAAGCUUUACUUCCACUAUGAAAUGGACUUAAGGCCAUUCACCUGCCUAGGACAUUACCUCAAUGGAUUUACUUCAAAAAAAAGACUAUUCAGUUGCAUAUCAAGAUCUUUUGUUGAAAAUGAACUGACUUCCUUUGGACUGAAAAUUUUAUUUGCAAGUCUGGCAAUUUUGCUGCUUAGCGGGAGAACUUACCAAAUUAUGGAUGCCUUCAAAACUUGUUUAAAAAUAUGAGGUCCCUUUUUAGGCUUGGUAGAAGUUUUGUUGCGACAUGUGUAUUUUUCAAGGUGGUGAUUAAUGCGGAUGCAGUUGCAGAAGAUAACCAGCAUUAAUCACCCUUUUAUUGUAUUAUUUUGCACAACUAUGCGGGAUUUUCCACAGCCUUUGGUUUGUACAUGGAUUCGCUAAAAAAAAAAACAUCUAUAAUGUCCAACCAGAGGACACUAGUGGGGGAUUGAAAAUCUGGUGUAGCUUCAAGGGACCUACAAUAGUUUACCCUUUUAUCAUGUACGGACUUGACCAAACUUAAGCUUUUGUGUGGUCACGGUUCUUUAAAAUGUGUUCUGGCAACUACAUUUCAAAUCAGUUGCAUUAUUGAGUGCUUGAGUCUGUGACACACAUGUGCCAUGUUAAGAUGUUGACACUUGUGGAUCUCUGAAUAUUAUCAUCCUUGGGACUUGAAAGGUUAGUCAUUGGGACUAAGUAACUUCAACACCUAGGACAAUAUCAGUCCACACUCAGAAACAGAGUCUGCCCAGGAGAGCAAGUGGUAGUUGCUGUUUGGAGGCAUCGUCCAAGGCACUCUGAGGAACUGCGUAAGACAAAAAGAAAGCACAGAGUUUCAGCAUCAAGGCAUCAUGUGCGAGAUCACCAUGAACC
rnacentral:misc_RNA from 1 species